ACAACUAACUUUAAAGUUAUACUGUUAAUAUGCAGUAUGCUGAUUGUUAUCAUGAUUUACAUCAUACAUACUGUCAUCGUUUUAAUUCUUUAACACUUAUUUUAACUGUGAGCUAGUUUUGAAAUUUAAUCUAACGCCAUCAUAUAUAAACAAAAUACACAUGCAGAUAGCACGCUUCAAUUGUACAGACCAGCAGAAAGAUUCAUUACCCUCUGCGAAGGCCUCAUAGGGAAAGUGUCACGUGGUUUUCUUAAAUGUUUACAAACACAAGUUAGUCACCACGUGGCGAUAAUAUCAGUCAAGGCUGGCUUUGUUUAUGUGUAGGCCGCUACGGGUUCUACGAAGGAAGACGGCAGGGGCAUUGGUAUAUAAAUACGAGCAAUUAGCUCGUGCAAGCAUAUUUCAAAUAAACAUAGAAUAGGGCAAUUGUGUUUGGAGAGAAAUUAGCAAAGUGCGUUGAUCAUGGAGAAAAAAGAAAUGAGGGAUUUUUUGGGAACAACCACCCAUUUUAAUCCGGCUAUGAACCAAAUCAACCCAGAUGAUGCUGCUAAAGCAAAAUUCAAAUUUAAAGGUGCACAUUAUAUGGGAUCGAAUCCCGAGGCGGCCGGGGUCAGGACACACCAAGGAAGUCCAAAAAUGCAAAUAUUUACUCAACAGUUUAGACGCACAAGAUCAGAAAGUUGUGGAAGUGAAGGGGAACCUGCAUCACCAAUUGGAUCGCCAAUAACUACCCCACCACUCCACGCUGCAAUUCAAGCCAACUCUCAGGCUCAAUUUGGGACACAAGGACAAUCAAUAGCAAACAGUCUAAAAAUGAAGGAGCUUAGGCAUGAAUUUGAUUUCAAAUAAAAAGUUUCGUCCAAGAACUAAUUCUAGUCGGAUUGGCCGUUUACAAAAGACUUUAGUGCUACCUCUCGAGGGCAUAUGUGUACAUUGUAGUGAUCUCGCAUUGUUUUGAUUUUCCAUGAAUGAAUGAAAAGUUAUGACUGAUUGUUUGCGAUCAAAUCGCUUUCGUGGUGAUAAUGAAAGUUUGGUGUGAAUAGUCUCAUAAUGAUAUUUUGUGUAUACAAUAUUUUUUGUCGAAAAUAAAUUUUUCUAUAAAG